UGAUGAUAGUGGUGCGUGUCGGCUGAUUGGGCUUACUUUACAGCGCAACCUUGGAAGUUUCUCCACGAGAAAAGUAUUCUCAACAAGUCGAGAAAGAAGUACUUUAAAAAUUCCAGAGUGGAAAGAAAUGGGAAAUCCUGACAGAUUUGCUCGCAAGAUGAAAAUAGAAAGAAGCGGGUCACA